UGUUGAUUGUUGGAUGCACGUUGUUUGUGUGCAUGUGCCAUGUGCGCGAAGUUUCGUGCGCCAAAGUGAUGUGGAAAAGUUAAGGACGUGAUGAACUUUGUGCGGGGCUUCCUUGCUCUUUAUAUGCAAUUUGGGUAUAUGUGAAGCUAUGACAACUUCCUGGGACGUUGCGUUUUGGUAAUGAGGUGAAGCUGACUUUCGGAAUUGUGACGCCUACGAAAACAAUGCUCGAAGCUUCUCCCCAGUUCUUUUAUGCUUCGGGAGUUCAAAGUUCAUUGAUACUUUUUGCCAGCAUUCCAGACAGAACAGAACAUGGAAGUCUAAACUAGCAGAGUGCACUAACACACUGCAAAGUACAAGAGCUCUAAUGAAAAGUGCCUGAUAACGGAGAAGUAAAAAGGUCAUCACCAUCAUAUUUCACUUGUGGGAUGAUUCUGUAGAAUGGCGACUCUCUCACUAUGGAAGUUUUGAGGAAGGCCAACACUACGGAUGGACACAGAUGGCUAGCCUCUGUAACACCUACUACAUCGCAAGGGCCAGUGCAGCACGGACUAUUGGUGGUUGUGCAGUGCGGUGUGGUGUGGAUGACAGCUGAAACUUUUUUAUGAGGAACAUUGUGGCACAUCACCGUGGCUGGAUACUGUACACGUGUUUUGUGCAACUUAUGCAUCAUGUGAAAUUCACAUAGAAAUCUUAUCAGAGAAUGGAAACAUUCAUCAGGUAAGUGCAACAGCCUACCAUGCCUCGUGUUCUGGCAAACACUGUUAUGAAGAUAGACCAUAAGUGAAGACCCUCACUUUCUGUGGUGGAAAAUUUAAUUCAGUGACUUAAAAAUCUGCGUCUCGCUGCAAGUAAAAAAACGUCAAUUCUGCUGCAUUGUUACAACUGCACCAACUCUCCUCUGUUAGUCAUUAAAAGGGUCUCGCAGAAGA